rnacentral:rRNA from 1 species
GUGGGGAAUAUUGGACAAUGGGGGGAACCCUGAUCCAGCCAUGCCGCGUGUGUGAAGAAGGCCUUUUGGUUGUAAAGCACUUUAAGCGAGGAGGAGGCUACCGAGAUUAAUACUCUUGGAUAGUGGACGUUACUCGCAGAAUAAGCACCGGCUAACUCUGUGCCAGCAGCCGCGGUAAUACAGAGGGUGCAAGCGUUAAUCGGAUGUACUGUGCGUAAGGCGCGCGUAGGUGGCCAAUUAAGUCAAAUGUGAAAUCCCCGAGCUUAACUUGGGAAUUGCAUUGGAUACUGGUUGGCUAGAGUAUGGGAGAGGAUGGUAGAAUUCCAGGUGUAGCGGUGAAAUGCGUAGAGAUCUGGAGGAAUACCGAUGGCGAAGGCAGCCAUCUGGCCUAAUACUGACACUGAGGUGCGAAAGCAUGGGGAGCAAACAGGAUUAGAAACCCGUGUAGUCC